rnacentral:rRNA from 1 species
CCCGCCUUUUUUUCAAAAACAUGGCCCUUUUGAUUAUAAUUUAAGGUCUAGCCUGCCCAAUGAUAAGUUAAAUGGCCGCGGUAUUUUGACCGUGCAAAGGUAGCAUAAUCAUUAGUUUUUUAAUUGAAAGCUGGAAUGAAAGGUUGGAUGAGAAAAUGACUGUCUCUAUAAAAAUUUUAUUGAAUUUUAUUUUUAAGUUAAAAAGCUUAAAUAUUUAUAGAAGACGAGAAGACCCUAUAGAGUUUUAUUAAUUCUUUUAAUGUAAUUUUUAGUAUUUAUUAUUUUUAUUAAAAAAAUUAAUUUAAUUGGGGUGAUUGAAAAAUUUAAUAAACUUUUUUUUUAUUUAAACAUUAAUUUAUGAGUAAAUGAUCCUUUUUUUGAGAUUAAAAGAUAAAAUUACCUUAGGGAUAACAGCGUAAUUUUUUUGGAGAGUUCAAAUCGAUAAAAAAGAUUGCGACCUCGAUGUUGGAUUAAAAUUAAAUUUUGGUGUAGAAGCUGAAACUUUAGGUCUGUUCGACCUUUAAAAUUUUACAUGAUCUGAGUUUCAACCGGA